rnacentral:sRNA from 1 species
GAAAGCGUUGCCGUAGGCAACGACCCGAAGGGCGAAGCGCGCAGCGCUGAGUAAUCCUUCCCCCGUCAUCC